UGCCACCGCAUUUUCCCUUCCAUUUCCACCACACCAUUAACAUUGCCCCUUCCUCCACCCUCCUUGACUACCCCAAUUAACCUUGAAUUUGCCACCCUAAACCCCUAGAUCCACCACUCCAAACGCUCAUUGCAAGAUAAGAGGGUUUUGUUGUGGCCUAAUAUGAGAAAGAUUAGGAUGUGAGGAUGGUGGCAGUCACAUGGCAGGGAAGAAGUGGGGCAAGGAAGUUCAGAACAUGUGUGAUGAGGAGGUUGCCGAGUUCGAAAGGGCUA
rnacentral:lncRNA from 1 species